GGUUCGCGCCAAGGAGACCAGGAAGCGAGCACUCAGCAGGUUAAAGCUGAAGCUCAACAAAGAUAUAGUGAUCUCUGUGGGCGUUUAUAAUCUGGUCCAGAAGGCUCUCAAGCCUCCUCCAAUAAAGCUGUAUCGGGAAACAAAUGAACCAGUGAAAACCAAGACCCGGACCUUUAAUACGAGUACAGGUGGUUUGCUUCUGCCUAGCGAUACCAAGAGGUCUCAGAUCUAUGGGAGUCGUCAGAUUAUACUGGAGAAAGAGGAAACAGAAGAGCUAAAACGAUUUGAUGAUCCAGGUUUGAUGCUCAUGGGUUUCAAGCCGUUGGUACUGCUGAAGAAACACCAUUACCUGAGGCCCUCCCUGUUCGUGUACCCAGAGGAGUCGUUGGUGAUUGGGAGCUCAACCCUGUUCAGUGCUCUGCUCAUCAAGUGUCUGGAGAAGGAGGUUGCAGCAUUGUGCAGAUACACACCCCGCAGGAACAUCCCUCCUUAUUUUGUGGCUUUGGUGCCACAGGACGAAGAGUUGGAUGACCAGAAAAUUCAGGUGACUCCUCCAGGCUUCCAGCUGGUCUUUUUACCCUUUGCUGAUGAUAAAAGGAAGAUGCCCUUUACUGAAAAAAUCACGGCAACUCCAGAGCAGGUGGACAAGAUGAAGGCUAUCGUUGAGAAGCUUCGCUUCACAUACAGAAGUGACAGCUUUGAGAACCCCGUGUUGCAGCAGCAGUUCAGGAACCUGGAGGCCUUGGCUUUGGAUUUGAUGGAGCCGGAACAAGCAGUGGACCUGACAUUGCCCAAGGUUGAAGCAAUGAAUAAAAGACUGGGCUCCUUGGUGGAUGAGUUUAAGGAGCUUGUUUACCCACCAGAUUACAAUCCUGAAGGGAAAGUUACCAAGAGAAAACACGAUAAUGAUGGUUCUGGAAGCAAAAGGCCCAAGGUAGAGUAUUCAGAAGAGGAGCUGAAGACCCACAUCAGCAAGGGCACGCUGGGCAAGUUCACUGUGCCCAUGCUGAAAGAAGCCUGCCGGGCUUACGGGCUGAAGAGUGGGCUGAAGAAGCAGGAGCUGCUGGAAGCCCUCACCAAGCACUUCCAGGACUGAUCAGACACCGUGCGUCCAGCUGCCCUUCCACAGUGUGGCCAGGCUGCCUGGCCUUGUCCUUAGCCAGUUAAAAUGUGUUUCUCCUGAGCUAGGAAGAGUCUACCUGACAUAAGUUGAGGGGCUUUAUGUUUUUGAGGCUUUCUGUUGCCAUGGUGAUGGUGUAGCCCUCCCACUUUGCUGUUCCUUACUUUACUGCCUGAAUAAAGACCCCAAAGUUUG